AGAGUUUGAUCCUGGCUCAGGAUGAACGCUGGCGGCGUGCCUAAUACAUGCAAGUCGAGCGAACGGACGAGAAGCUUGCUUCUCUGAUGUUAGCGGCGGACGGGUGAGUAACACGUGGAUAACCUACCUAUAAGACUGGGAUAACUUCGGGAAACCGGAGCUAAUACCGGAUAAUAUUUUGAACCGCAUGGUUCAAAAGUGAAAGACGGUCUUGCUGUCACUUAUAGAUGGAUCCGCGCUGCAUUAGCUAGUUGGUAAGGUAACGGCUUACCAAGGCAACGAUGCAUAGCCGACCUGAGAGGGUGAUCGGCCACACUGGAACUGAGGCACGGUCCAGACUCCUACGGGAGGCAGCAGUAGGGAAUCUUCCGCAAUGGGCGAAAGCCUGACGGAGCAACGCCGCGUGAGUGAUGAAGGUCUUCGGAUCGUAAAACUCUGUUAUUAGGGAAGAACAUAUGUGUAAGUAACUGUGCACAUCUUGACGGUACCUAAUCAGAAAGCCACGGCUAACUACGUGCCAGCAGCCGCGGUAAUACGUAGGUGGCAAGCGUUAUCCGGAAUUAUUGGGCGUAAAGCGCGCGUAGGCGGUUUUUUAAGUCUGAUGUGAAAGCCCACGGCUCAACCGUGGAGGGUCAUUGGAAACUGGAAAACUUGAGUGCAGAAGAGGAAAGUGGAAUUCCAUGUGUAGCGGUGAAAUGCGCAGAGAUAUGGAGGAACACCAGUGGCGAAGGCGACUUUCUGGUCUGUAACUGACGCUGAUGUGCGAAAGCGUGGGGAUCAAACAGGAUUAGAUACCCUGGUAGUCCACGCCGUAAACGAUGAGUGCUAAGUGUUAGGGGGUUUCCGCCCCUUAGUGCUGCAGCUAACGCAUUAAGCACUCCGCCUGGGGAGUACGACCGCAAGGUUGAAACUCAAAGGAAUUGACGGGGACCCGCACAAGCGGUGGAGCAUGUGGUUUAAUUCGAAGCAACGCGAAGAACCUUACCAAAUCUUGACAUCCUUUGACAACUCUAGAGAUAGAGCCUUCCCCUUCGGGGGACAAAGUGACAGGUGGUGCAUGGUUGUCGUCAGCUCGUGUCGUGAGAUGUUGGGUUAAGUCCCGCAACGAGCGCAACCCUUAAGCUUAGUUGCCAUCAUUAAGUUGGGCACUCUAAGUUGACUGCCGGUGACAAACCGGAGGAAGGUGGGGAUGACGUCAAAUCAUCAUGCCCCUUAUGAUUUGGGCUACACACGUGCUACAAUGGACAAUACAAAGGGCAGCGAAACCGCGAGGUCAAGCAAAUCCCAUAAAGUUGUUCUCAGUUCGGAUUGUAGUCUGCAACUCGACUACAUGAAGCUGGAAUCGCUAGUAAUCGUAGAUCAGCAUGCUACGGUGAAUACGUUCCCGGGUCUUGUACACACCGCCCGUCACACCACGAGAGUUUGUAACACCCGAAGCCGGUGGAGUAACCUUUUAGGAGCUAGCCGUCGAAGGUGGGACAAAUGAUUGGGGUGAAGUCGUAACAAGGUAGCCGUAUCGGAAGGUGCGGCUGGAUCACCU
rnacentral:rRNA from 1 species